rnacentral:rRNA from 1 species
AGAGUUUGAUCCUGGCUCAGGACCAACGCUGGCGGCGUGCCUAAUGCAUGCAGGUCGCACGGAGCUUCGGCUCAGUGGCGGACGGGUGCGGAACACGUGGGCGACCUAUCCGUGUCUGGGGAAUAACUGCCCGAAAGGGUGGCUAAUACCGCAUGAGCUCGCUCGGGGGAUGGCCCGGGUGAGGAAAGCCUUCGGGCGGAGACGGCGGGGCCUGCGGCCGAUUAGCUGGAUGGUGGGGUAACGGCCUACCAUGGCGACGAUCGGUAGCCGGUCUGAGAGGACGGCCGGCCACACGGGGACUGGGACACGGUCCAGACUCCUACGGGAGGCAGCAGUCGGGAAUUUUGGGCAAUGGGCGAAAGCCUGACCCAGCAACGCCGCGUGAGGGAUGAAGGCCCUCGGGUCGUAAACCUCUGUCGGGAGGGAAGAACGGUUCACGUUCGAAUAGGACGGGAGCCUGACGGUACCUCCAAAGGAAGCACCGGCUAACUCCGUGCCAGCAGCCGCGGUAAU